GACGAGGUGGCCGAGUGGUUAAGGCGUUGGACUGCUAAUCCAAUGGGCUCUGCCUGCGUGGGUUCGAAUCCCAUCUUCGUCG
rnacentral:tRNA from 1 species